UACGGAGGAGGCAAGCGUUAUCCGGAAUGAUUGGGCGUAAAGCGUCCGCAGGUGGCAGUUCAAGUCUGCUGUCAAAGACCGAGGCUUAACUUCGGAAAGGCAGUGGAAACUGAACAGCUAGAGUAUGGUAGGGGCAGAGGGAAUUCCUGGUGUAGCGGUGAAAUGCGUAGAUAUCAGGAAGAACAUCGGUGGCGAAGGCGCUCUGCUGGACCAUAACUGACACUCAGGGACGAAAGCUAGGGGAGCGAAUGGG
rnacentral:rRNA from 1 species